AGCAAUUUGGCGCAGUGGAAGCGCGGUAUGUUUGACACCCGGAGGUCCUACGAUCGAAACGUAGAAUUGCUA
rnacentral:tRNA from 1 species